UCGUCAGUGAGGUACAUCCUUACCUGUUACUCCAGAAAUGGAGUUGCAGAAAAUGAUGAAUGGGGAUUCAUGAGAUAUGAUUAAUAUCUCCGUCUUGUGGGGAACAGCAACACCCCACAAGAUCCAUUCUGAU